rnacentral:misc_RNA from 1 species
ACGAGAAUGUCCAUUCAUGUAGCUCCUCAGCUGCAUCUUACCCAAUGCAUUCUCAGGCCUCUCCUUGAAAAUCCACAUGUACAUGUUCUCCAUGUCAUGCUGAACCAUAAAAACAUCAAGCUUGAGAUCAGAUUUGUCGAAUCCAGAAACUCCAUUGCUGUCCCGAAUAAUCUUGGCCUUCGAUUUCUCAUUCAAAGCAGGUUUAAAGUAAAAACUAAAGAAAAACCAAGCACCCCAAAUACUAUCCACCCGCUUGGCGCAUUUCCUUCCAACUUUGGUGAUACUAAGGAGACUCUCAGUCUCAUAAACCUGCUGACCAAGUCCAACAUCUAGCAUAUCACAUGGGUCAGAAUUCCAUGACUGUGGUGGUGGACUACGCUCAGCUGACAGGGGUAAAUUGAUAUCAGGCGGACGGGAAAGUAUGAUUUGACGAUUCAUCUCCAAAUCCAAUUCUUCGUGAGAGGAGGCACUGGAAUCCAUUGACAAGAGGGUGGAAGGGUGAUGAUUCUCCAUUGACAAGGCUGUGAGGAGAGAAUCUCCCAUACUUCAGCUCAUUUGCUUGGUGGAUUUUGUUGCUGAUGGGUGGUUGAAUAUAUCCAUACCCAAAUUGAAACCAACUCAAGAAAAGAACAGCCUCAUAAACACCUUCAUCAAUUUAUCAAUCCCCACAAUAUCUCCCCUCCAUCAAAACCCUUUUGGGAAAAGUAUCGAGGAAUCGAGAGGAGGAGGAAGAAGCAGGAGAGGCGAUUGCGAGGAUCGUUUCCAGCAUAUCAUCACCAUCAUCAAAAAUCACCAUUUUUUCUCUUUUUUUUUUCUCCUAUAUUUUUUUUUUCCUUUUUUCUUCUUCCUCUUCAGCUGUGUUCCGUCACAAGAAACGGAGAAUAGAAGAGCAGCGGUUUGUUCGUGUGAACAGAAGAAAACAGAAGAAAGAAUAGCCGCA